GCUACUUUCUGCUUCGCAUGGAGAAGCCAUUUUCAAUGGAGCCCGUGCGGCUGUAUUGAGGCACCACCAGGUGUUGAAAUCUUAUGCCCCUAACAAUUUCAUGCCCGGGGCAACUGGCCCUGUGCUAUGCCACUGGGCAGUGAAGCUUCCUGGGUGCCUUUGGGCUGCCUCUCAGACUCUCUCACAGGGUUGUUAACGGGGCUUAAAUGAGGAGGGGGGAAACCACGAGGUCCUUGGAGAAAAGAUUGGGAGAAAUGAGCAUCACAGAGAAGAUGGUGAGGUGCCCCUCUGUGUUGACCCAGAUGCGGAAGGGGACCAGAAGCUCAAGCCUGAGAUGCCACAUUCCUUACAUAGAGUCCCCGAUUUGCGGUUUUAGCCAAAUGUGGUAAGCUUCUAAUGAGAUUAGCGAUGCAUUUGUUUUUCUUUCUUGGGUGCUGCUGGAGAAAUGGGUGUCUGCAGAAAGUGUGUUUUUCCAUUUGCCUAGAACAAAGUUUUUAUUCUCUCUCUUGCAGGGCUCCUCCUGUGCUUAACAGGCAGUAAUCCAAGAGACGAAACUUUUCCCCAUCACUGCACCUGAUGAAAUUCUGCACUGUACGCUGUCCUGUUCCGCCCUGAAAUCCCCUCUCCUGCACAACUAUUAAAAAGUGCAAGAGCCCUGCCCUCUGCAACAUCUGACCAUCCUACACAGCAGUCAGCCAGUGUAGCUGACCAACUAGGACCAGAUGGAUGGGAUUUGGGGGGGUGGGGAGGUGUAAUUCUGCAAUACGACAUUGCCCCAAUAAUGGUCCAUUAUUGGUGGGAUUAUCCUGGGCUGGCCACACAUCCUUCCAUGAUUUUAGCUGUGCUGCGAUGCUUCCCCAGGGUUACUGCAUUAUUGUCAUCUGGAGUGUCAAUCUUGCAUUGCAGCCCAACGAAAGCAGGACGAAAAACAAACUGGAGCACUUUUGGUAUGAAAAGCUACAGAAUUUCAUUCUUGAUGAUAGCCAUUAUAAAAGCUUUGCCAGCUACAUUUCUGCUGGUUAGGCAGGUGCAGUGAUACAGGAGUCCUGUUUUAAAA